UACGAAGGGGGGCUAGCGUUGUUCGGAAUUACUGGGCGUAAAGCGCACGUAGGCGGAUAUUUAAGUCAGGGGUGAAAUCCCGGGGCUCAACCCCGGAACUGCCUUUGAUACUGGGGUAUCUCGAGUCCGAGAGAGGUGAGUGGAAUUCCGAGUGUAGAGGUGAAAUUCGUAGAUAUUCGGAGGAACACCAGUGGCGAAGGCGGCUCACUGGCUCGGUACUGACGCUGAGGUGCGAAAGCGUGGGGAGCAAACGG
rnacentral:rRNA from 1 species